rnacentral:rRNA from 1 species
GAUGAACGCUAGCGGCAGGCUUAACACAUGCAAGUCGAGGGGUAGUAUAGCAAUAUAUGAGACCGGCGCACGGGUGCGUAGCGCGUAUGCAAUCUGCCUUCCACAAAGGAAUAGCCCAGAGAAAUUUGGAUUAAUGCCUUAUAGCAUUACAGGAUGGCAUCAUCCAGUAAUUAAAGAUUCAUCGGUGGAAGAUGAGCAUG